ACUCUUUCAGGCCACAGAAUCAGCAGAACUUCCACCUGGAAACAUUCUUGAGCAAGAAGCCUGUGGAGUGAGUCACAGAUGGAGUUUAUAGACUUCAAAGCUGGUGCCAGCCCGGUGGCCUUUCCCUAUUAUUAGAGUUAUCUUAAUUCAUUUUAGCAGAAUGCAGAAUUACACUUAUCCUCACUGCAACCCUCCUUGAGAAGGCUUUUUCCUGAGAAGAGAUGAACUGAGGGCCUGAAUCAGUUCCCCAACUGUACAAUGCCCCAUCAGCACCCUCUGGGGCUUCAGAGGAGCCAGGGGGCAAGUUUGGUACCUACCACGGAAGGCCUUUGUCAAAUCUUCAUGAACCCAUUCAGUGUUCUGACAGAGAGAGAGCUUGACAAAACUUCACCAGUGUCUCGGCUGGGCCCAUGGUGCUUGGGCGCCAAGCUCAAGUGGGGCCUCCCUGGCAGGCAGCAUUCACUUGCCAUGAGCAAGAAGGAGGCCACCUGCAAGCCAGGAAGAGAGCUCUCACCAGAAUUCAGCCGCGCUGUACCCUGAUGUUGAACUUCUAGCCUACGGAACUGUGAGCAAUAAAUUUAAAUUUCUGUUGUUUAA